UACGUAGGGGGCGAGCGUUGUCCGGAUUUAUUGGGCGUAAAGAGCGUGUAGGCGGUUCGGUAAGUCUGUCGUGAAAUCCUGAGGCUCAACCUCGGGCGUGCGAUGGAUACUGCCGGGCUAGAGGGUGGUAGAGGCGAGUGGAAUUCCCGGUGUAGCGGUGAAAUGCGCAGAUAUCGGGAGGAACACCAAUGGCGAAGGCAGCUCGCUGGGACGUUACUGACGCUGAGACGCGAAAGCGUGGGGAGCAAACAGG
rnacentral:rRNA from 1 species